AGCAGCCGCGGUAAUUCCAGCUCCAAUAGCGUAUAUUAAAGUUGUUGCCGUUAAAAAGCUCGUAGUUGAACCUUGGACCUGGCUGAUCUGUCCUCCUAAUCGAGCGCACGGAUUCGGUCGGGUCUUUCCUUCUGGGGAGCCCUAUGCCCUUCACUGGGUGUAGUGGGGAACCAGGACUUUUACCUUGAAAAAAUUAGAGUGUUCAAAGCAGGCCUUUGCUCGAAUACAUUAGCAUGGAAUAAUAGAAUAGGACAUCGGUUCUAUUUUGUUGGUUUCUAGGACCGCUGUAAUGAUUAAUAGGGAUAGUCGGGGGCGUCAGUAUUCAAUUGUCAGAGGUGAAAUUCUUGGAUUUAUUGAAGACUAACUACUGCGAAAGCAUUCGCCAAGGAUGUUUUCAUUAAUCAGUGAACGAAAGUUAGGGGAUCGAAGACGAUCAGAUACCGUCGUAGUCUUAACCAUAAACUAUGCCGACUAGGGAUNGGACGGUGGUUUUUUUAUGCCCCG
rnacentral:rRNA from 1 species